rfam:Aedes aegypti strain Liverpool supercont1.564 genomic scaffold, whole genome shotgun sequence.
UGCCCAGUAACUCCUAUCCCUACCUCCACGUGGUACUGGCCGGUGGGAACUUUGGUCGUAUGCUGACAGGGAAGG